AGUGCAUGUGGCGGAUGCCUUGGCGAUCACAGGCGAAGAAAGACGCGGCAGCCUGCGAAAAGCUGCGGGGAGCUGGCAAACGAGCUUUGAUCCGCAGAUAUCUGAAUGGGGGAACCCACACCGCAAGGUGUAUCCGUGACUGAAUACAUAGGUUACGGAGGCGAACGAGGAGAACUGAAACAUCUAAGUAUCCUCAGGAAAAGAAAUCAACCGAGAUUCCGGCAGUAGCGGCGAGCGAACCCGGAGGAGCCUAGCUUUUGAUAGUACGAACUUUAGCCGAAAGGUCCUGGAAAGGCCUGCUAUAGUGGGUGAUAGCCCCGUAGGCGAAAGAGUUCGUACGGUACUAAGGAAGCGAGAAGUAGAGCGGGACACGUGGAAUCCUGUUCGAAGAUGGGGGGACCAUCCUCCAAGGCUAAAUACUCGUGAUCGACCGAUAGUGAACCAGUACCGUGAGGGAAAGGUGAAAAGAACCCCGGGAGGGGAGUGAAAUAGAACCUGAAACCGCAUGCAUACAAACAGUAGGAGCCUCACCAGAGGUGACUGCGUACCUUUUGCAUAAUGGGUCAGCGACUUACAUUCUGUGGCGAGCUUAACCGAAUAGGGGAGGCGCAGCGAAAGCGAGUUCGAAAUGAGCGUCCAGUCGCAGGGUGUAGACCCGAAACCAGAUGAGCUAUCCAUGGCCAGGUUGAAGGUGUGGUAACACACACUGGAGGACCGAACCGACUAGUGUUGCAAAAUUAGCGGAUGAGCUGUGGAUAGGGGUGAAAGGCCAAACAAAUCUGGAGAUAGCUGGUUCUCCCCGAAAACUAUUGAGGUAGUGCCUCGUGUGUCGCUCCAGGGGGUAGAGCACUGUUUUGGCUAGGGGGGACAUGGAGUCUUACCAAACCAAGGCAAACUCCGAAUACCUGGAAGCGUAAGCACGGGAGACAGAGCACCGGGUGCUAACGUCCGGACUCAAAAGGGAAACAACCCAGACCGCCGGCUAAGGUCCCCAAUAACAGCUAAGUGGAAAACGAAGUGGAAAGGCCGUGACAACCAGGAAGUUGGCUUAGAAGCAGCCAUCCUUCAAAGAAAGCGUAAUAGCUCACUGGUCGAGUCCUUCUGCGCGGAAGAUGUAACGGGGCUAAGCUGUUAACCGAAGCCGCGGAUGCACUGAUUAUUCAGUGCGUGGUAGGGGAGCGUUCUGUAAGUCUGCGAAGGCGGUUCGAGAGGACUGCUGGAGAUAUCAGAAGUGCGAAUGCUGACAUGAGUAACGUUAAAGCAGGUGAAAAGCCUGCUCGCCGUAAGCCCAAGGAUUCCUGCUCUACGUUCAUCGGAGCAGGGUGAGUCGGCUCCUAAGGUCAGGCCGAAAGGCGUAGCCGAUGGGAAUCAGGUUAAUAUUCCUGAACCUGCGUCAGAUGCGAUGGGGGACGGAGCAUGAAAGAUCAUCCGGGUGUUGGAUGUCCCGGUUGUUGAGCGUAGGAGGUCUGCAGGCAAAUCCGCAGACGCAUCUCCAAGGCAAAGACACGUGCCGCCACGGCGGCGAAGUGAUCGGAAGUGCUCCAAGAAAGCCUCUAAGCACCAGUCUGGCGCGGACCGUACCGCAAACCGACACUGGUGGGCGAGCUGAAUAUGCUCAGGCGCUUGAGAGAACUCGGGAGAAGGAACUCGGCAAAUUGACACCGUAACUUCGGAAGAAGGUGUGCCGUAGUACCGUGAGAGGAGAGACACCUUGAGCGGGAAUCGGUCUCAGAGAAUAGGUGGCUGCGACUGUUUAUUAAAAACACAGCACUCUGCAAAGUCGAAAGACGACGUAUAGGGUGUGAUGCCUGCCCGGUGCUGGAAGAUUAAUUGAUGGGGUGAGAGCCCUUGAUCGAAGUCCCAGUAAACGGCGGCCGUAACUAUAACGGUCCUAAGGUAGCGAAAUUCCUUGUCGGGUAAGUUCCGACCUGCACGAAUGGCAUAACGAUGGCCACACUGUCUCCUCCCGAGACUCAGUGAAGUUGAAAAUGUUUGUGAUGAUGCAAUCUACCCGCGGCUAGACGGAAAGACCC
rnacentral:rRNA from 1 species